rnacentral:rRNA from 1 species
AUCAAAAGUCAAGUCGGGGGCUGUAAAGCUCUCGUCUACACCCAUGUCUUUUGCGUACUCUUGUUUCCUCGGUGGCGCAAGCUGCCGAUUGGACAAACCAAAACCUUUUUUGUAAUUGCAAUCAGCGUCUGAAAAUAAUCUAAUUAUUUACAACUUUCAACAACGGAUCUCUUGGUUCUGGCAUCGAUGAAGAACGCAGCGAAAUGCGAUAAGUAGUGUGAAUUGCAGAAUUCAGUGAAUCAUCGAAUCUUUGAACGCACAUUGCGCCCCUUGGUAUUCCAUGGGGCAUGCCUGUUCGAGCGUCAUUUGUACCCUCAAGCUUUGCUUGGUGUUGGGCGUCUUGUCGUAUUACGACUCGCCUUAAAUUCAUUGGCAGCCGGCACUUUGGCCUAGGAGCGCAGCACAUUUUGCGAUCGUAGCCCGUUGUACUGGCGUCCAUCAAGAACAUUUACCACGUUUGACCUCGGAUCAGGUAGGGAUACCCGCUGAACUUAAGCAUAUCAAUAAGCGGAGGAAAAGAAACCAACAGGGAUUGCCCUAGUAACGGCGAGUGAAGCGGCAACAGCUCAAAUUUGAAAUCUGGCUCUUUCAGAGUCCGAGUUGUAAUUUGCAGAGGGUGCUUUGG